UACGUAGGGGGCAAACGUUGUCCGGAUUUACUGGGUGUAAAGGGUGCUCAGGCGGUUUAGUAAGUUAGAAGUGAAAUCCUAGGGCUUAACUCUGGAACUGCUUUUAAUACUGCUAAGCUUGAAUGUGGAAGAGGAUGAUGGAAUUUCUGGUGUAGCAGUGAAAUGCGUAGAUAUCAGAAAGAACACCAGUGGCGAAGGCGGUCAUCUGGUCCACUAUUGACGCUAAAGCACGAAAGCGUGGGGAGCAAACAGG
rnacentral:rRNA from 1 species